UUAAAUGAGCACCCAGAACUGGGUCUCAGGGUAGUGAGAAACCUAAAGUUCGCAGAUAUUACCCCAGACGUCAGCUGGUAUGGAAACUUUCCAGCCGGCGCCCUAGUAAUAUUUUGGGGAAAAUGUCAGAGUGAGCCCAUGUGAGAAUAUGGAAGGAAAAUCUACCCAGGCUCCGCCCCUUUGCCGGAAUGGUCCAGAAGUGUAACUGCUGCUGUGAAUGCGUCUGACCCGGACAAUCUCCUGCUGCGUUCUUCACGGGGGGAACGGCAAACUCCGAAAAAAAGUGUUUCACCUAAAAACAAAAAGGCCCAUCUAUGGAGGUAAAACCUUCUACCUUGUUCAUGUGGUCAUCUCCAGGCGACCGCUACCCUGACAUUAACCUCUGGAACAUGCAUGAACGCAACUGGUUCAUUAAACGAAGAAGACGACAUUUAUUUUAAGCUAAUUUAGAUCCAUGUCCUACAUCUUCGUAAAUUGCGGUUUCAAACAAAUUUCAACACCGUUGCUGCUCUUUAUACAGUGUUUUCCGACAAUGAGUACACCUGUCUUUAUGAGGAAGCGCGUGAGCGGAAGAAAAUUUUGCCUCACGCCUUUGGCGGGUCAUUUUUUUUAGCUCGGUCUCUUGGCAACAGCGCCACUUCCCUGACCGGAAGUUGGAUAUUCGACGGAUGUUCACACCUGUCGGGGACCACAACACCUUUUACCAACCAGAGGAUUUGAUGUCACACUCCGCUGAGAUGACUCAACCACCAGGCUGAGGUGCAGACUUAUUGUUUAGGAAGGCAGUUUCCCCCCUGGGGGCGACCGCUGUGCCGUUCCUGAGAGUAUGAAAACGGAGGUGACAGGAUGUUGAUGAGGAGGGCCCGAAGCGUUACCUCCAACCAUCGUGCCCUGGAGUGCUCCACUUUGCCAGCCAGUAAUGAACCUCAGCAUCUGUAGCAGUUAGUUGGACUCCAGCUCAGGGCCGUGGAAUCUCGCUGUGGCAAUAUGUGGCGCGAGGGGCCGUGCGGCUGGCUCCCCUGGAACCAAAGGACAAGAAGGAACAACAAUUUUGGGGACACGUCAGCAGCAGCAGUGACAGCAGACAGUCCUCAGGCCUCUGCCGCAGCGAGGAGGGAGAUCAAUGACGAGACUAAUGGCGCUGUGCAUUAACUGACUCUUUGAAUGGGUGGAAGAGGGAGGCAGUAAAAGUGAGUCCCAUACUGAUGACUUGAUAUCAUUCCAUUCAAGCAGCCCUAAAAUGAGGAGUGCGUGCUACAAUCUAUCAGCUGCCCUGCUGGAGGAGAGCACUGCAGUGAGCCCCCCACCUGCCCGAGAGCUCCCGCUGUAGAUUCCCCACAGGCCGAGCCGGUCAACGCCCCCUUGGUUACCUGCAACAGUCUGUCUCCUCGCGUCAGCUCAGAGCUGUGCAGCCCAGCUUGAAGCCUCCCCCCCUGGAUUCCCAAUAAGAGAGAGUUAGCAACAGCUAGCCAAGGUCUGGUCGGCCUCGUCGCUGCAGUGUCCAGUUUGCCCCGAAGAGGCAGCACGACUCAAGAGGCUGAAAGAGCAGCUUCCUGUUUGCGGUCUGGAGGGGUCGGCCGACGGGGAGCAGGUGGACAGACUGAGGAUCGGUGACCUGUGGAUACACCUGCUGCAGCUGCCGGCGAGACGGACCGCAAGGUUCCGCGGCACCACCCAGAUGAAUCUGAGCCCAGAAGAGCAGACGUGGGACGAAAGGAAACAGGGGCCACUGGACCAGGAGGGCUGGAGGCACCAGAGUUCAUUCAUUUUAUUUCUGUGCUGAUAAUGAAUAAUUUCACACCAGUGUUACCAUAGCCCCGAGGCAAUAACACUCUGGAGAGAAUCACCAUCAGUGGGGUUCAUUUCACCUCCCGGUUAAUCCCUCAUGCCGUCAGAAUCCUCCACGCUCUGUGGCCCCUAUUGUAAUCAAAUAACACGUGAAAACAAGUGUCAGUAAUGUUUCUGGAUUUCAUCACAUCUCCACCAGCGUUGUAAGUGGCCAUGUUUAAUUGAUAGCUUUCUCUGGAUGAUGUAGAGGGCAGCGCUCGCUAUCGCUCUGGACAACGGCAGGCUACUUGAAAUGAUGAAAAACCCGCUAAUUGUCACUUCCUUUGUUUAAAGUUCACGAUUCCUCGUGAAAAACGACGCUUCAUUCGGGCCCCAGUCGGGCUGUUCACAUCUUCUCACUCCGUCAACUGCCGUCUCUCCAUCCACUGCUCUUUAUCGCCUAUCUCAUUAUGACCGCUGUUCCUCCUUCCUUGUUCUGCUCGGCUUGCCGGCUGACAAGCUGAGCAUAAUGGAGAUGGGUUGGAAAAGGCUGCGAGUGUUCGGCCCCCGAGCACAGCGAUAGGAGGGGGAAAAAAAACUGACUAGCUGUGAGAAUUAUGGUAAGAGAUUCAUUUGGACUUAUGAUAGUUUGAAUUUGCUGCUUCCGCUCGCUCUUCUCCUUUUCCUUUUUUUCCCCCCAUCCUCUCCAGCCGGAUGCCGACAGAAUAGAACAGGAGAUGAGUUGUUCUGGAAAACAGAUACUCAGUGUUAUUGGAAAAAAGUGCAAGGAAACAUCAUGAAUCAAUUCCGCCUUUGUUAUGGAUCAGUCUGUUUUUGUCUCACUGCGACGAAAGUCCAGUGAACUAAUGGACAAAAUGAUACUGCAACAUCUGUACACCUCGUAUAUGUAAAGGAUUGUGCACACAGAAGAGGAGAUUGUGAGUACUGACCAGUGGGACAGACUCACUCGCAGCCCGGUCUCAAGAUUGACUGCUGACUCUCAUUAGCCCUUAAAACAUUUUUGCAGACUUAUUAUAUUAAGUCUUCGCCUCCUUUGUCCCAGAAAAUAUGUUCUCAGCAUUUCUGCGCACGCACGCACGCACGCACGCACGCACGCACGCACUCUCCAUCUCCUCCUUUCUCCUCCUGUUUUUCUUUCCUUUUUUCCCCUCUUGCUCUCCCUCCCUCAGCGCUCAAGGCUGCUCAUUUUUCAACAAGCAAUAGUUUUGCCGUGUCUGGAUCUUGCAUCUCUCUCUCUCUCUCUCUAUCUCUCUCUCUCUCACACACACACACACACACACACACACACACACGAGAAAGAAAAAACUAAACGCGUGCUGUAUUUGCAGAGUGUUUGCAUUACAGAUCUACAGAGGAAAAAAAACAGAAGUGCUGGAUACCUGGAGGUUAUCAUCGGGAAAUGAAUUUGAGGCGAUACGGGCCAGUGGCGAUUGAUUGUCUGCCUCCAGUGUCGUUUGGAUGCCCACAGGAAGGCAGCGUUCAACGGAAGCAUACAUGCAAAACGUCUAGAUAUACACAUAUAUCUUGGAGUCUUAGCUUUAACAUACAGCCCAUGUACAUAUAUGUGCUUCAAAGCUAAGGCUGACAGAUGGGAUGGAGGAGGAAUACUAAGAGCGCGUCCCUGCGAGCUGAUCCUCCUCAUUACAUCAGGGAUUGUAGAAUUCAUGCUUCAAAUAAGCACGGCUAGGAAAGGUGCGAACUCUGGUAGUCUCCGUUUUCACCCGGCUAAUUCAUAAUUUAACAGAUAUGUUUGGCUCCGCGCCCCGCUCCACUUUUGUAGGAAUAUUUUCUAAGGAAUAGAUUGCUCAUUACAAGUGUCCACAGCUCUGGAAAUAAGCGCCGGAUUAACGCUACGAGCUUCGUUUAUGGAUCUUUGAUUAAUGGCGCUCCUCCCUCGCCGUCUGCUCCCUGAUGCAAUAUGUAUGCAUUGUUUUUCCUCCAUUUCCUCUGUGACGCAAGUAAUUACACACGCCGCAAAAAUGAAAAAUACAAACUGCAUCAAAUUUGCAUUAUAUUAGGGUUUAAUGUCACUUCAUUCUGCGGAUCGUUUGUGUGAAAAUUCAAACGGCCCCCUCUUCGCUUUGUUCCGUGACACGAGGCCCGACAAGCAACCGGAGUCGAGCUUUGGUGCGUUAGCUCAGCUCGACUGAACCUCAUUAUGACUUUUCAAUUAGAGGGAUGAGUGAAGUCUGGGACGUCUGCAACUCUCCAGCCAAUCAGGGCCUUCUUAAUCAUUCCCUUUGGUUCAAGGGGAGACGAUGAAUGUGAGCGGGUGAUGAACGGCCCUGUGAACUGCGGAGCCAACUGGGUUGGAGCCGGGGAGGUUUAUGUUUCUGAUCAAGGAAAAUUGUCCUGGUUCGGAAUAAAAGAAUAAAAGAUUGAACAUUUACACCCACAUACAAACUCUUUCUCAAUGCACAUAAUAUCCUGCUAGAACUGGCCUCCAGCCUCCGUUUCCUCUAAUGUACAGAACAUCACCAUUUCUAGGUCGGAAGGGUGUUGGACCUGCAUCCAGCAGCUUAUUUAAAUCCAUAUUCUUUCAUAUUUAAAUAUUUAAGGAGGUUUAUUUGGCGUUUAUCUCUUCUUUUAAUGUGAGUUUUUAUACAUUAUUUACCCUCCUUUGAACCCGAGUCCCCAAUCCGAAGCUUCUAAACCUGCACCUGCCAAGUUCGGUCUCUGACGAGAGAUUAAAGUGGGGUUCGUCUGCGCUGUGAGAAACCAGGGCACGGUUCUAUUCCCUCUCUGAUACAGUAUGUUUAGUGUUGUCAACACAUCUCAUCUAUUGGCACAUUGUCUCAUCCCACUCGCUGGCUGGCUGGCUGACUGACAUGCUGCUGCGCUGUUUCCUGUCUCUUCGCUGGGAGCGGCCCACACACGGGGGGAAAAUCCGCCGUGUUUCUGAGCCCAAUGUUCUGCCGUCAGAUGAUGCGGGUGCUUUUCUUUCUUCCUCUCACGCGCACCGCCUUCCAUCGCCUGCUCCGCGCCAUCCCCCCUCGCCUGAAAGACUCGUCCUCGGGUGCAGUCGGCGUAACAGCCCCGGCUCAGACGACACAAGCCCGCCAAGCGUCUGCCGCAGAUUCCUCCAAUCCCUCUUCACGGUCGUUUCAUUCUCCCAAGGCCCUGGCAGUCGGCAGCCGCGCCGCAACCGUCCGGCGAGUCGCCUCUGAACGGGCCCAGGGCAUCUUCAUUGAGUCGAACAAACGAUCGCUGGGGAGGCCCUGAUGCAGGCUUUAUGAAGAAGUCCUCCCCGAGAGAAAAGGGCCUAUUUCUGUAUAACGCCUGAUAUGCAUGCGUUCCUGUGGUAAACCUGCCUCUUCUCUUCCAGCAUCUCUCUCUCUCUCUCUCAGUCUUCUCUCAUUCUCACAUUAAUCUUCACAUGUGAUAUUUUGGAGCUUUGAUCAGUUCCGUGUGGUGCACAUCAUCAUGCAACUUGU